CCUACGGGAGGCAGCAGUGAGGAAUAUUGGUCAAUGGACGUAAGCCUGAACCAGCCAAGUCGCGUGAGGGAUGAAGGUUCUAUGGAUUGUAAACCUCUUUUAUAAGGGAAUAAAGUGCGGGACGUGUCCCGCUUUGUGUGUACCUGAUGAAUAAGGAUCGGCUAACUCCGUGCCAGCAGCCGCGGUAAUACGGAGGAUCCGAGCGUUAUCCGGAUUUAUUGGGUUUAAAGGGUGCGUAGGCGGGCUUUUAAGUCAGCGGUGAAAUUCUGUGGCUCAACCCUCGAAUUGCCGUUGAAACUGGGAGGCGUGAGUGUGUGUGAGGCAGGCGGAAUGCGUGGUGUAGCGGUGAAAUGCAUAGAUAUCACGCAGAACCCCGAUUGCGAAGGCAGCAUGCC
rnacentral:rRNA from 1 species